AGUGAACGCUGGCGGUAGGCCUAACACAUGCAAGUCGAACGGCAGCACAGUAAGAGCUUGCUCUUACGGGUGGCGAGUGGCGGACGGGUGAGGAAUACAUCGGAAUCUACUUUUUCGUGGGGGAUAACGUAGGGAAACCUACGCUAAUACCGCAUACGACCUACGGGGGAAAGCAGGGGAUCUUCGGACCUUGCGCGAUUGGAUGAGCCGAUGUCGGAUUAGCUAGUUGGCGGGGUAAAGGCCCACCAAGGCGACGAUCCGUAGCUGGUCUGAGAGGAUGAUCAGCGACACUGGAGCUGAGCGACGGUCCAGACUCGGAGGGGAGGCAGCAGGGGGGAAUAUUGGAAAAGGGGCGCAAGCCUGAACCAGGCAUACAGCGUGGGUGAAGAAGGCCUUCGGGUGGUAAAGCCCUUUUGUUGGGAAAGAAAAGCAGCAGGUUAAUACCCCGCUGUUCUGACGGUACCCAAAGAAUAAGCACCGGCUACUUUCGU
rnacentral:rRNA from 1 species